UACAGAGGGGGCAAGCGUUAUUCGGAAUUAUUGGGCGUAAAGGGCGCGUAGGCGGCCUGGCAAGUGGAAGGUGAAAUCCCUCGGCUUAACCGAGGAACUGCCCUCCAAACUGCUUGGCUUGAGUCCGGGAGAGGUGAGUGGAAUUCCCAGUGUAGCGGUGAAAUGCGUAGAUAUUGGGAGGAACACCGGUGGCGAAGGCGGGUCUCUGGGCCGUAACUGACGCUGAGGAGCGAAAGCGUGGGGAGCGAACAGG
rnacentral:rRNA from 1 species